rnacentral:miRNA from 10 species
GCUCAAGAAGACAGCAGUCUAUUAUGUUCGUGCAAAAGUAAUUGCGUUUUUUGCCAUUAAAGUAACGUCAAAAACCGUACUUACUUUUGCCCCAACCUGAUAGUUCCUUUUCCCUGGGCCCCACCUGGUCUCU